AGAGUAAAGGGGAUAUGGAAGAGAGCCUUUAUGGAAAGUAUGCGCAUGGCUCCUCUUCUACUCACGUCUUUACCACAGUGGUUCCUGCAACAGAUUUUUCUCGCUCUCCCCCACUCACUCUCACUUUCUUUUUUUUCUCUUUUUUUAGAGGCAAAUUACCUAUCCAGCACUUUCUUGGGCCCUCAAUAAAACAUCUGUGGAGGUGGGAGCAGGAAGAGCAGAGCCUGGAGCAUACAGUAGUGCACUUCACUGAGAUACUCGGCAGCUACAUGAUUUUCCCAUGGUUCUGUACUCCAGUACAAAGGUUAGCCACAUCUCCAGAGACCUAUAUGACCUUGGGCAAGCUCAGCUACCUCCUCUCCAUGCUAUCCAGGGGGCAUACUGUCUGCAGGCAGCACAGCUGCAUAAGUAUCCUUUGUGUG
ensembl:lncRNA